ACCUGGGAGGCGGAGCUUGCAGUGAGCCGAGAUUGCGCCACUGCACUCCAGCCUGGGCGACAGAGCGAGACUCCAUCUCAAAAAAAAAAAAAAAGUGAAUAAGAAGGUUGUGGCCCUGGACUUUUCUAUGAAUUCUUUAGCUAAACAAAUAAAGCAGUUACAUCGUGAAACACAGCAAAGUGAAGAUGAACAGAAUUAUAGGAAGUUUAGGGCAAAGAUUUGCCCUGGAGAAAAUCAAGCAGCCGAAGAUGAACUAAGAAAAGAGAUAAGCUCCAGUCACUGAAAGGGCUAAAUUGAUUUCCUUGCCAACUAGUAAAAACUAGACCUUCGGACCCCAGGACAUCGAUGAACUGAUCUUUAUGCUAAGCGACAGCCCUGGAGUCAUGUGCCGGCCGGCCAGAGUCAAGCAGAUGUUUGCCUCCAGAGCCUGUCGGAAGUCGGUGAUGAUUGGAACUGCUCUUAAUACAAGCGAGAUGAAGAAACUGAUCACCCACAUGGGGGAGAUGGGCCACCCCUGGAACUGUCCCCAUGGAAGGCCAACCAUGAGACACAUUGCCAACCUGGGUGUCAUUUCGCAGAACUGACAGUAGUCGCUGUAUGGAAUCAUCGGUUUUAUUGCAGAUUUUUAUGUUUUGAAAGACAGGGUCUUCACUCACCUUUUUUGUUUUCAAAUGAACCUGCUACUUAAAAAAAAAUACACAUCAGACCCAUUUAAAAGUGAUCUUGAGAACCUUUUCAAACCAGAUGGAGCGCUACUUGCAAAAUCGUUUUUUUCUCUGCAUGCACUCGUGUGUGUGUGUGUGUGUGUGUGUGUGUGUGUGCGUGUGUGUCCAGUCAGGAACAUAUUUUAUAAAAAUAAGAACACUUGGGCCGGGCGUGGUGGCUCAUGCCUGUGAUCCACCUGCCCCGGCCUCCCAACGUGCUGAGAUUACAGGUAUGAGCCAUAUUUCCUGGCCGAGUUAAGGAUCUUGCAGUAGAGAGAUUAUCCUGGAUUGUCUGGUUGGGCCCAGUCCAUUGGGUGAGUCCUUUGAAGGUGGAGACCUUUCCCUGCUGGCCAGAGAGAGGUGGCCUUGCUGGUAUUGGAGAUGGAAGGAGGUACCACUCGUCAAGGAUUGCAAGCAGCCUCUAGAACAGGGAUUCCAGCACUCCGGCCACAGACCAGUAGUGGUCCAUGGCCCGUUAGGAACCAGGGUGCACAGCAGGUUAGGGGCGGGGAAGCCAGCGAAACUUCAUCUGUAGUUAGAUCCCCUCCCCAUGGCUGGUAUUACCACCUGAGCGCCACCUCCUGUCAUAUCAGCGGUGGGCAUUAGAUUCUCAUAGGAGCACAAACCCUGUUGUGAACUGCACACGCGAGGGAUGUAGGUCGCACACUCCUUAAGAGAAUCUGGUGCCUGAUGAUCUGUCACUGUCUCCUGUCACCCCCAGAUGGGACCGUCUAGUUGUAGGAAAACAAACUCAGGCUUCCACUGAGUCUAUGAUGGUGAGUUGUAGAAUUAUUUAAUUAUAUGUUACAAUGUAAAAAUAAUAGAAAUAAAGUGCACAGUAAAUGCAACACGCUUGAAUCAUCCUGAAACCAUCCCCUACCCCCAUCCGUGGAAAAAUUGUCUUCUGCGAAACCGGUCUCUGGUGCCAAAAGGUUGGGGACCGCUUCUGGAAAAGCUGGAAAAGGCAAGGAAACGGACGCUUCCCCGGAGCCUCUGGAAGGAACCAGCACUGUGGGCCUGAUUUACAGACUGUAGGAUAAUAAAUUUGUGUUGCUUCAA